CAUGCUUAGAUCAAAUCUAAAUUACCAAAUAAGAUCUAUGACAUGAACUAAUAUGCAUGUAUGUACAUCUGAAAUCUAAAAUCAGCAUAUACUGAACAUAUCAUAGUAUAAUUAGAUCAUUUCUAAUUCAUAUUUAGAUUAUAUCUAAAAAUUAAUUUAGAUCAAAUCUCAUACCUGAGUGUAGGUAGCAGAACACCGUAUCCAAAAUCUGUGGUAGAUAAUUCUUCAUGAUACUUGGCAGCCGCACACGCGUCCGACCUCUACAGGUAUCCACACGAAGUCCUCAUGCUGAUCGAUCUCUUCGGGAGUGCUAGCUUACGAAGACACCAUCCAUUGACUGAUUUGAGAGAAACAUGAUGGAAUUGAAGAAUAAGGAGAUCCUCUCCUUUUCUUUUUGGAUCUAUACAUCUGAUCUCUACAAUAGAGAUCAAGAGAAGAACCCUUUCUUCUCAAUUUUCCAUGUAUAAGAGAGAACC
rnacentral:lncRNA from 1 species